AAAGAGAUGAGGUAAAUGUGUUAUCCUCUACCUUCGAUACAGAAAACGGUGAAGUCUAUGUGAUCACUAGUCCAGUCGCAUACACUACUGAAUUAAAUCUAACUACUAAUUCUCACAUGCAUGAAUGGAUAUUAGAUUCUGGUGCGUCUUUUCAUGUGACAUCUGAAAAGAACUGGUUUGAAAACUUGCAAGAAUCUAAUGAUGGGCAAGUAGUUCUGUGUGAUAACUUUGCCUAUACAAUUGCUGGAAUUGGAGAUAUAAAGAUAAAAUUUAACACAGGCUUUGUGUACAUGUUAAAGGAAGUUAGAUACAUUCCGAAAUUAUUUAGGAAUUUGAUUUCAGUAGGAAGACUUGAGAAAGACAACUUCACCGGUAAAAUUGAAAACGGUAUGUUUAAAAUGAUGAAGGGUGCGUUAAUCUCUAUUAAGGGAAUCAAGAAAAAUGACAUUUACAUCACUACUGGGGAAGUGAUUAGAGGAUUAAACUCCUCUAUUUCUUCCGCCAAAAUAAAAAAGGUGCAUUUGGUAAUGACUGUGUGUCUGACCUAUCGUUCUGUGAUCACUGUGUGCUAAGAAAGCACCAUAGAGUGUCGUUUUCCACCAGUACGCAUAAGGCUAAAAGCAUGCUUGAAUAUGUGCAUUCUGAUCUGUGGGGUCCUGCUAGUAAUCCCACAUCGAGUGGGAAUAGGUAUUUCCUAUCUAUCAUAGAUGACUACACUAGGAAAGUGUGAGUCUAUCUAUUGAAAGACAAAACUGAAACCUUCCAUAACUUUAACAAUUGGAAGAAACAAAUGGAAAAUCAAACUAGAAAGAGGAUCAAAUUUUUAAGGGCAGAUAACGGCCUAGAAUUCUGUAAUGCUAAAUUCGAUAGGAUGUGUAAAGAAAGUGGAAUAACAAGGUACAAAACGGUUCCUUAUACUCCCCAGCAAAACGGAGUAGCAGAAAGAAUGAAUAGGACCAUACUAGACAAAGUGCGCUGCAUGAUGUUAAGUUCUAGGGUUCCUAAGUCAUUUUGGGGUGAAGCCGUUGUCACUGCCUGUUAUCUAAUAAAUUUGACUCCAUCGGCUGCAUUAAAUGGUGAUACUCCACAUGAGAAAUGGUUUGAAAAAUUGGGUGACUACUCAAUGCUUAAAGUGUUUAGCUGUGCUGCCUUUUCUCAUCAAAGUGAGGGAAAGUUAGAACCUAGAGCCAGGAAGUGUGUCUUUCUAGGAUAUCCCGAACGGGUUAAGGGCUAUAGGCUAUGGGAUAGAAGCCAAAAAGGAGUUAAGAUCAUCGUGAGUAGGGAUGUCACAUUUAAUGAGAAUGAGAUGCAUUGUCUAAAGAACGAAACCGAACCUGUAAGUGAAACUGAAUCAAGUGAAGAAAGAAAUCGGUUUAAGGUGGAGUUAGGAAAAUUUAACACAUCAGUACCUAGUACUUCGAGUGAGGUGGAGAUUCAGGUCCA
rnacentral:lncRNA from 1 species